UCGGAAGUUCAAGUCUUCCCAGGCCCACCA
rnacentral:ncRNA from 2 species